AUGUGUUGUUUCAGGCUUUCAAAAAAACAUGUAAAAAAUUUACUAGUAUUGUUGCAAGAUACUGGUGGGGGAGGAGAUGAAAAUAAAAGGAGGAUACAUUGGAAAAAAUGGCAAGAUGUAGCUAUUCCAAAAUGUGAAGGGGGAAUGGGUUUUAGAGACUUUGGUCUCUUUAAUCAAGCUAUGUUGGGUAAGCAAGGAUGGAGACUAGUGACUAAUCCUGACUCUCUUUGUGCUAAGGUUCUUAAGGGACGAUACUUUCACGACUCUAAUUUUUUGUUUGCAGCAAAUAAGAGGAACUCCUCACACACAUGGAAAGCCAUAUUACAUGGCAAAGAGGUGUUGAAACUGGGGCUAGUUAAACGCAUCAAAGACGGAGCAAGUAUAAAAAUUUGGGAGGAUCCAUGGAUUGUUUCAAAUCACGGCUACCGGCCUAUCCUUCGGCUACCAGGCUCUACUGCUACUAAGGUGGAAGAGCUCAUGGAUCAGGAGAAUGGCACCUGGAAUAUGGAAGUACUAGAGUCAAACUUCGUGGUGCCGGAUAUUCAGGCAAUAUGCGCAAUGCCGAUUGGCAACUUGGGAGAUGAUGUAUGGGCUUGGGAGAAGGAGAAACAUGGCAAUUUCACUAUUUGUUCGGCCUAUAAAACGCUAAGCAAUUGGGUGCGACAGUCAGACGUUCCAUCUACGGCAGUAGCUACUGGAAGAUCUUUUUGGAAAUAG
rnacentral:rRNA from 1 species